UACAGAGGUGGCAAGCGUUGUUCGGAAUUACUGGGCGUAAAGGGCGCGUAGGCGGCUCGACAAGUCCCGCGUGAAAGCCCCCGGCUCAACUGGGGAACUGCGCGGGAAACUGUCGGACUUGAGUUCGGGAGAGGGAAGCGGAAUUCCGGGUGUAGCGGUGAAAUGCGUAGAUAUCCGGAGGAACACCGGUGGCGAAGGCGGCUUCCUGGACCGACACUGACGCUGGAGGCGCGAAAGCUAGGGGAGCAAACGGG
rnacentral:rRNA from 1 species